UGUAUUUUUUAUUGUAAUCCAAAGAUAAUAUUAUAUUAUAUGUAACUGGGAUUCAGCUACAAAAGCAGGGCAUGCGUUGUGAUCGGGAUAUCUUACCGUUCGCACCAGAUAUAGAAGUUACUUAUUAUGUUCACAUACAUAGUUAUGUUGUUUAAAAAUUAAUAGAUGAAGUAACCUACUCAUUAUCGUGUAGUCCUAUUUGGUUUUUUAGUAAUUUUAUAGACAUAUAGAUAGGCGUGAUUUAUCUUAGUAUCAGUGUCGUAACUAUAGGUCUACCAGAAUCUGAUGGCAAAAAAAAAAAUUAAAAAUUAGCGAUUUUCAUAUGGCAAUAAAAGAAAAAUUUCAUCUGUCAACUGAAAUUUUGAGGAAUUGUUUUUGGUUUGGCUUCAAAUUUCCUUUAAAAAGUGAUGAAAAUGUCGAAGAAACCUCUUCGAUCGCAAGCAAGACAUAUUGUUUUCAAUGUUUAUCAAAGAAUACUUGAUCAACAAGAUGCAGAACAUACACAAUCAUCGAUAUUGAGCCAUGUGCAAGCGUUGACUGGGGUUUCUUAUACUACAAAUAAACUUGGAUAGUUUUGAUUUAGAAUUGAUCAGAAACAAGAUAAAUGAGUUUUACACUGUUUCUUUCUCUCAAAUAGGGAUCGAUGAAUAGCGAAAAUCUUGUGAACAUGUAAUAAACAUUGAAAAUCUGUUCAUAGAACAAGAUCGGUUAAUUGAGAUGCAGGAGGAAAGGUUUAUUAUAAAUACUGCGUUGAAGACUUUUUUUUAUGGAUGUGCAGUAUUUGGAACCAUUUUCAAGUUCUUAAUUAAUUAAUAAACUCAUGAACAGAGUAAUUGGAGUUUUCAUCUAAAUUUCAAACCCCACAUUCGCCACAUUUUCAAAAAUUAUCAUUGGAUAAAUUUUUAUAUAUUUUGCAUGUAUCACACACAGAAUCAGC